CCGUUUGGUAAGGAUUUUGAGAAUUGAUUUUUUGACCGUUAGAAGAAAAGUGGGGUCCACAUGUGAGAGAAGAAGUCAAAAAUUACGGCUUGAAUAGUAAAAUAACGGUCAAAAAAUCAAUUUUUUGGGACAAAAAAUCCCUACCAAACAGGGCCUAUGUUAGGAGCUGCCUUGCAAGCAGCCAAGUCGCCUGUGUAAUGUGUAGUACAGGCAACAAUGUGUAGCUAUGACACGACUUGUCCCAAAUCACCUUAUAGACCCGAAACAUGACAUGCGCCGGUGGUAUAUGCUGACUAGAUGCCAGAGACUAUGAAUUAUUACAAAAUAUGCGACAAAAUCAAAUAUUUAUAAAAACAUAAUGCAAUAGGCCCAAAUAAUUACUUCAUAUUUUACCAAAAUGAAUUAUAUCACUCAAUAUGUCAUUUAGCUAUAACUCUUAAAUCACCAGGCUCUUCAAGCUAUUAGUGAUCAAUAUUACCUAUAAGAAUAAUUUUAGAAAAAUAUGAGUUAACAACUCAAAAAUAAUUAUACCUUUUCUUUUAAACAUUUUUACUAAACAUCAAGUUCAUAUCGUUUAAUAUUCACAUGAUAGAUUCGUACAAUUAUAGCCAAAAAGUGACAUUCUCAUAACACUGCAAAUAUCAUCUUAUAAUUACAAUAUAGUCAUCAACUGAUAUCUCAUCACAUCACAUGUAAUCCACAAAAAAUAUACCGUGUGACUAAAAUUUGAAAUCCUUCCCUCGGGCUAAACACUUUCGCCACGGGCCUUUGGCCCCCCUCCGUGAACAAAAGUGGGUCUUAAGACCUCUAGUAAUCAAUUUUAAAACACGGUCAAAGCUCCUCUAUGAACUAAAUGUACACAGUCAAAACCAAUAUUUGGUCAAGACCCCUCCGUGUAGGAUAAAACAUGGCUAAGACCCCUCUGUGAACUAGGAGAAAUAUAUAAUCAAUGGUACUUUUUUGGCCGAUCUCAAUAUCACAUUUGUUUCACAUACCAAGUCAUAAAUGCACCAUAAAUAAUCUUUGAAAUUCCACACGUCAUAAUAAAAGAGAUUUUUGUAAUAAUCAUAAAACGAACACAUAAUUGCACAUGCUUUACUAAUAUACUUAAUUUAUAAAUACUUUAAAAAUAUUUAGUUUUUCUACUCAUUGAUCUAUGGAUAUAAAUCUGAUUAGACUGACGAGCUUUUUCCAAACUUUCAUGUCCUUACCUAAAACAACGGUAUAAUCUCUCAAAUUAAAAUCUGACAAUUAAAUUAAUACAAAUCCACCUCUCAACUUUUCAAUUUCUAUAUUUAUUCUUACAUCUCUGUUUCCCCAACUUUCCUUCACUUUGAUUAUUUACUAAUCAAUCACUACACAUAAUCAAUCAUUUAAUUGCUAUACAUUCUUAAAAUCACUAUCUUGUAUAUACACAACUUAAUCCAUUACCUAAACUUCACUAUCUAUCAUAUAACCUCAUUCAAACAAUUAAAAUCUGAAAAUAAGAGUUUUGACAAAAACAGCACUAAUAUCCCAGAAUACUGAAUUGUAAUAUCUGCAUAUUAACAACAGUCACCGAAACCAUUGACAGAAAUAGCACUAUCCUGGGCAGAAUUUCAAAACUAGCACCUGUUUUACAAAAGCUCAAAAAUUGCUGGAAAAAAUGGACAAUUUCAACCUUAAAUCCUCAAUUUAAGUUUUUAGCACAAUAUAAUUCAAGAAUUUCAAAGAAUAUGCUUUUAUCUCACAAACCCACUUUCAAAGUUCCACUUUCUUCAACCUUUAUAUUCAAAUAAACAUUCCCUUGCUAUAUUAUUUAAAACCGUGAAUACACAUCAAUAAUAUCAAAUUCUUGCUAACUUCAAAGUUUAAAGAUAAAUUCCAUAAACCCUAAAAGAGAUAAUUUCACAUUCUUAUACUUACCUCACUAAAUCACAAUACAAAUUAAAGAAAUGGAGAACCCGGCUCGAAAAUCUACUACUUCUUCCUUUUCCCCCUUUCUCUUCCUUUCUUCUCCUCUUUUUCCACUGUUUUUUCCCAUGGUUUUCUGCCUCUUUCGGACUCUGCUUGCUCUCUACAGUUCCUUUUUUUUUUUUGGACCCAAAAAUGAGAGAAAUUGAUAUUUAUCUCCUAAUUU
rnacentral:lncRNA from 1 species